UACCAAUCAGCAGCGCUCAAGUCUCGUUAGCGCAGACCUGCUGCCCGCGGCCAGGCCGGGCAGCUGUUGAUCCCCGGGCCAUUCUUUUAAAGCCCAGGCAGAGCGCGGGUGGGAAGCGUGCGAGGAGAGCUGAGCCAGGGAGUUGCGGGGAGGAGAAGAAUUAGAGGAGACAGCACUGAUGGGAGUGACAGAAGCGGUGCCGGUUAACUCCCCACCAUCAAAAGUAUCUUCUGCUGUAGUCUGGCACAAGUUUCAAGCAUCCACUGGGGGUCUUGGGAUGCGUCGCCCUGCAGAUAAGGGCAACUGCUGUGCAGCAUGAACAGUAUGGAGACAAUACUUAUCUUCAUGGAGUUUAUAUUAGAGUAAGACAAGAGGUAGGAGACUGCCUAUUUUAUUGUUCUCUUGAAAAGACUGGGUAUUUUACUUUUAUGAAAGGCUUUAUAGCCUGCAGGGGCAUUCUAAUAUGGAUUUUGGGGGUGAAGAGAGAAAUAGGUGUAGAAAGUAAGUUCAGGGGUGCAGAGACCCAUAGGUUUUUUAAAAGAGAAGUCAGGGGAAGGUCUCUUAAGGUAGUAGUGGAGUCCAAAUUAUUCUAUGUCCCUUGUAGCUCCUACCCUUUGUAUGCAGUAAUUUUUUUUUAAAUCGAAGACAGGGGAAGGUCUCUUAAGGUAAUAGUAGAGACCAAAUUAUUCUAUCUCCCUCGUAGCUCCUUCCCUGUGUAUGCAGUUAACGGAGUGUGGUUUCCCCACUUGUCCCGAAAUCUUCUAGGCACAAC
rnacentral:lncRNA from 10 species